rnacentral:rRNA from 1 species
GACGAACGCUGGCGGCGUGCCUAAUACAUGCAAGUCGAGCGCAGGAAACUGACGGAACUCUUCGGAGGGAAGGCAGUGGAAUGAGCGGCGGACGGGUGGGUAACACGUAAGGAACCUGCCUCAAGGAUUGGGAUAACUCCGAGAAAUCGGAGCUAAUACCGGAUAGUUCAUCGGACCGCAUGGUCCGUUGAUGAAAGGCGCUCCGGCGUCACCUUGAGAUGGCCUUGCGGUGCAUUAGCUAGUGGGUGGGGUAACGGCCCACCAAGGCGACGAUGCAUAGCCGACCUGAGAGGGUGAUCGGCCACACUGGGACUGAGACACGGCCCAGACUCCUACGGGAGGCAGCAGUAGGGAAUCUUCCACAAUGGACGAAAGUCUGAUGGAGCAACGCCGCGUGAGUGAUGAAGGUUUUCGGAUCGUAAAACUCUGUUGUAAGGGAAGAACACGUACGAGAGGGAAUGCUCGUACCUUGACGGUACCUUACGAGAAAGCCACGGCUAACUACGUGCCAGCCGCCGCAGUAAAAC